CAGCAGCCGCGGUAAUACGAGGGGGGCAAGCGUUGUUCGGAAUUAUUGGGCGUAAAGGGUGCGUAGGCGGCUUGACAAGUCUUGUGUGAAAUCUAUGGGCUCAACCCAUAGUCUGCACGGGAAACUGUCGGGCUUGUGAAUGGGAGAGGUGAGAGGAAUUUCCGGUGUAGCGGUGAAAUGCGUAGAUAUCGGAAGGAACACCUGUGGCGAAAGCGGCUCACUGGACCAUUUCUGACGCUGAUGCACGAAAGCUAGGGGAGCAAACAGGAUUAGAUACCCCCGUAGUCCCUGUCUCUUAUAC
rnacentral:rRNA from 1 species